CUAGCGGUUAAUAAAGUGGACCCAUAAUCAGAAGGUUGCCAUCAAGGUGCCACCGAAGUGCCACUGAGCGAACUUCUGUCCCCACACACUGCUCCCCUUUCAUGGCUGCCCUCUGCUCACCAAGGCGAUGGAUUAAAUGCAGAGGACACAUUUCGUUGUUGCUGUGGAAAUCACUUCACUUUCACUUUCAUAUCACUAUUUGCAAUCAGUUUGUAUGACAUUUGCUAAUAAUAUCAAGAUGACCGCGUUGUGAUAGACUAUGAAAUCCAGAACUAAGCAAACACCGGAGCCAGGGACCACCCUCUAACAUCCUUUGGCCCUUCUGGAUUUGCAAGGCUCAGGGUUUCUCCAAAUUCAAUGGUCAGCGAAUAAAGCAUAUUAGAAUUUCUGAUGAGCCCAGAAUAAUUAAACAGGGGCAUUUUCGUACCACAGGGCAGCGAACCUCUACUUCAAGGCAACGUCCUCCCGCGGCCGACACUGGCCUCUUUAUUCUUUAACCCCUUUAGAGCUCCACGCUUCCUGCCGCCGUCUCCUUUUCCUCUCUCCCCUACAGUAGAGGGAGGCGUUUGAUGUGUCGCGCCGAGGUGAUGACUCAGGAGAGAAGACCAAGCCAAGCAGGCUUCGCCAUUUAAUAGUUGUAACCGUCACAGGACUGCAAAUGGACACCCAUCCAUCUGCCCCCGAGGACAACAGGGCCGGUGUCUUUUACUUUGGCGAAACUUGAACGACUACACCUAAAACCCCAGCAGGGAGCCCAGUGACACGGGGACGGGUCUUGACCUCCUCUACUGUGCCAGCAACGGCAUCAUGGCAUCACGUUUUGUCCUCAUGAAAAGAUGCGAUCGGCGGUUUUGCAGCACGCCCUUAAUGAAGAGAGUCUGCUGGCUAUUUCGAGCGGCGCUAAAGCUACCGUCCUUCCUCAUCUGAUCCCCUAGGCAACCGAUGCGGUCAUUCCUUCCAGAAAGCGGAGCGCCAAAUGUAACCAAACACCAGUGGGGCCCACAGGAACCAAAAAAAGUCCCCGCUAAGGCAUUAGCUGCAACCCGAUCCAGGCUCUCUCACAGGAGCCUGUUAUUGGGUAAAUACAGAGAGCCCGGCGCGCCGCCGCUUCUCACCUGCAGGGGGCGACAGAAGAGGGACAAUGCGGACCUCACCCACAAGUGCAUCGUGCAUCGUGUAAACAGAUGCAGGUUCAGUACCGGCCUACCUGUCCGUACCACCCGUCCCAUGCCGUCUGGAACACUAGAUGUAAGAUAAACGAAGAUAAAAUGGUUAAGUCACCGCUCAACAAUCUGUGUUUAAAUAGGUUUUUCACCAAUAUAUGCACAACUAGAAUAGUCUGUGAAGAUUCUCAGUCAUCCAUGUGAAAUUGUCUGAGAGUUGAGUCAUGGCAACUGGACUUCUUUAUUUAAGGUAGAACCUUGUCAAAGUUCUAACUCUAACUAGAAUGGAUAGAUAGAUAAAUUCAUAGAUAGAUAGACAGACAGACAGACAGACUUUUGGAACCAGGCUGUGUCAGGUACAUUCAUACAAAUUGACAGCUGACAUGCUUCAUGUGGUUGAGAUGCAUGUCAUGACCCUGUGUUUUGAUGAACAGAAUAUGAAAUAAGAGAGAAAAAGAUAGAGGUGGUGGUGGCGGGACAGGAGAAAGAGGGAGAAGGUUUUCAGUGGAGGGGACUUCCCAGCAGGACAGCUCUAGGUUUUCUCCCACAUGUGUUCCGCAUAAAGACUAUCAAAGGCUUUGUUCCCCCCUGCUGUAGAGUCCUGCCCUGCUGUAAAGAGCCAUCAAAUGAAAGUGUGACAGGCUGAAGAGCCUGUAAUGGCUAUAUGAGGGGCUGGAGAGACUCCAGACACACACACACACGCGCGGAUAAACUCACACCCUGAAUACACACCGACGAAAAAAAAAACACACAAACGUGCGCGUAAAUGAACAGCGGCCCACAGUGAAGGCAUUUACACACGAGGGUGGCUUUACGCAGCGUGGCAAACAUAAUACAGGGACAAGCAGACGUACGUGCAUCAUUGCAUAGCAAUUCCCGCAGACCUGAAAAGCAAAUGCAGCCUCGCUCGCAGACGCCCGCGUCAUCAAACAAAGCCGGGGCGGACCCCCAAAUGCACUCUCGCACAUGCAUGGGGUAGCGCUUAAUGAACUAAAGAACCCAAAAAAACCCUCCCCCGCCGCCCCUGUCAUCCAUUCCGGGC
rnacentral:lncRNA from 1 species